UACGUAGGGUGCAAGCGUUAAUCGGAAUUACUGGGCGUAAAGCGUGCGCAGGCGGUGAUGUAAGACAGGUGUGAAAUCCCCGGGCUUAACCUGGGAACUGCAUUUGUGACUGCAUCGCUGGAGUGCGGCAGAGGGGGAUGGAAUUCCGCGUGUAGCAGUGAAAUGCGUAGAUAUGCGGAGGAACACCAAUGGCGAAGGCAAUCCCCUGGGCCUGCACUGACGCUCAUGCACGAAAGCGUGGGGAGCAAACAGG
rnacentral:rRNA from 1 species